UCCGUAGGGUGCAAGCGUUGUCCGGAAUUAUUGGGCGUAAAGAGCUUGUAGGCGGUCUGUCGCGUCUGCUGUGAAAUUUCGGGGCUCAACCCCGAACUUGCAGUGGGUACGGGCAGACUAGAGUGUGGUAGGGGAGACUGGAAUUCCUGGUGUAGCGGUGAAAUGCGCAGAUAUCAGGAGGAACACCGAUGGCGAAGGCAGGUCUCUGGGCCACUACUGACGCUGAGAAGCGAAAGCAUGGGGAGCGAACAGG
rnacentral:rRNA from 1 species